rnacentral:tRNA from 1 species
GGGCGAUUGAUGGAAUUGGAAUACGUGCCGUCCUUAGAAGUCGGAUUUUGGGGGUUCGAGUCCCUGUCGCCCA